CAACCAAGAUCCUGUUAAUCGCCUUUUACGACAAGCAUAGUCACCUUUUACGGCAAGCAUGGGUUGCUGAAGACCUCUUCUACCCAGGAAUCUUCACGGGUCUUUUUACAACAAGCAUGGGAUACUGAUGACUUGUUUAUCCACAGAUCCAUAGGACAGUCUGAUAUCAAGGCUGUGCAACCUACAGGUCAUCGUGAUCUAAGGUAGCUGAAGUAUUAUAGACAAAGACACAAUGCAUUAUGCACUCACUGAACCCUCAUAAAGAAGGUAGCCAAUAUUACCCACCUGUGUUCCACAAUAGUCCUCACCACUUGAUAUAGAAUCACGAAAUAUCACAAUGAUUAAUUAACAAAGAUAGCAGCAUGUGUGCUAAUACUUAUCAAAUGAAAACAAGUCUUGACAGCAAUAAGGAAUAUUACUUACAGCAAUGUACAGUAAUGAUUAGAAAUGAAAAGUGCGCUUUUAAAAAAACCAAACCAUUUUGCUGGCGAUAAACAUCUUCAUAUGAUCACAUUUUGAUCACAUGGUUACAAUCUGACUGAGGAUCGUCAGUCAUGUGAUUCUACUUUGUGAUUCUAUUUCAUGUGGCGAGGACUAUAGUUAGGACGAUGUCAUUCUUCUAGCAGUGUCUUGGCGUACCAAUAGUAAUAAGUAUACCAUCCAUACCAAUUGGCUUGUUAUUGUCAUGUUGGUCUGUAAAUGUGGCAUGUUUUUGUAAAUGACUUGAAAAUGUAAAUAAAUGUGUGUAUAAUUCAUAAGUUAUGUAAAGAUCACUUAAUUAUUGUCAUGAAUAACUUAUUGUGGUAGACAUUGUGUGAUGUGUACGAUUUGUUUAUGAUUUUAUGUCACAAAUAAACAUGUCCCUUUGUAAUCAUUUUGUGAACAACAUCCAAUAAUAGUGAAACCAUGCAUCUCCUGUUGUUUUAUUUGGUAUCUAUGCUGUUCCAAGACAUCAUACUACACAUGUACUCACAGAUAGUGCUUAUGCUUUUAACCAGGGGUGCAUGGUAGAGUGAGAUCUACGCUGUAGGUCUUCCCGUGGCAAGGGAGUUAACUGUAAGAGUCCAGUUUAAACCCUUGCCGAACUAGGCUGGAAUUUCGUCGCACAAGCGCCACCAGUGGCAAUUAUGAAUUAUGUUCCUUCUAUGUCCCUCCUGUUGACCAAUCAGAUUUCAUCUCUCAUACCACUUACAUUUACCUCAAACAAAAUGGCGGCGAUCAGUCAAGACAAUCAGAUCAAUAAUCAAUGUCUUUUCAGUGAUAAAAUGGGUGUUACACUGGAAAGUACAUCAAAUCACUUGAACACCUUGACUAAAAGCAUGAAAAGAUUUAGAAAACAUCUGUUGACGCCCAGUUGACGGUACAUAUCAUCUGCAAAUCCCACAAUCGACCAAAAUCCUCAUGGCAGUCACCAUGUUGAUUACGAACUAAAUGUUGAUUUUUUAUGCGAGUUUUAUUGGACUAUGCAUAGACUCAUUAGUUAAGCAGAAACAUAACUCCAUAAUCCCAGCCUAGUUCGGCAAGGGUGGAAACCAGACUUUUAUAGUCUGUUAACUCCCUGACAAGCAGGCUUGUUUCAUUGCCCAGUUGGGGCAAACCCUGAUGUUUUAAUGUAACUUUCUGCAGAAAACGUAGGUUUAGAUUUUACUGUGAACUUAGAUUUUACUGUGGAAUCCAGUUCUUUGCACAAAACAUGCAAACUACUGCUUAUUUUCGUGGUUGAUCAUCUUUUAAAUAUUUUGGUUGUUGAACACAUUUGUAUGUACUGAUGUUAACACACACACACACACACACACACACACACACGCUCACACACACACACACACACACACACACACACACACAUUUUCUAUGAUUCCUACUUUCAUGAGUAAUGUUAAUCUUAAAUCUUUGAUAUCUUGGUGAAAGCUCCAUGAUAUUUUUAUUAUUUUUUCAUUAUGAAGCUUGUGAUUCUGUCAAUCUGGAACAGUUUGUUUCUUCUGACUUAGCAUCCAGUGCAUCUCCCCGAGGCAAGGAUGUUAGUUUCUUAUAUAAGUCGAGCAUACACCCUUGCCAAACUAGUCAGGAAUUCCGUGGCUCAAUUGUAGCACCACCAGUGGCUAUUACUAGAUGCAUCCCUUCUGUAUCCCUCCUAUUGACCAAUCAGAUUCCACCUAUCAUAUUUCUGGCAUUUGCUAUAAAUAAAAUUGCAGAGCCCAGUCUAGACGAUCUGAUCGACAAUCAAGAUCUAUAUUGUAACAAAAUGGACUCGUCAGUCCAGCCAAAACAGAACUCCGAAAUUCCAACCUAGUUCGGCAAGGGUAACAGGGGUUCUCUAAGCUGCAUCCAGAAACCAAAUAAUAAGCUACAUACAGUGUAGCAUCCUACAACAUACAUACAUACAGAAUGUUUAGUACAGAUCAUUAUGUCAUAGAUGGAAGCCUGCUAAAAGUGGCCUGAAACCCUUUUCACUCUCUCAUACAUGUGGCAUCCAGGGUUAGAAAUUGGCACUAGUCCUAUAGUCCUGGCCAAACUGCCCAAAAGUAAAUUAAGGUAUCAUAAGGACUAGUAGAAAUUUGCCAUUUUUAAGGGUUUUGCUAUAUGUUAUCAUUAUAAGGACUAGUGGACUGAAACUGUUAGUUUCUACCGCUGGGCAUCAGGUAGUGUGGUACUUAAUUACAGGAGUGUGCAUUUCACUGCAUAAUGGGAAUGCAGGUUUGAUAGUCAUCUGAAUGGCUUAAGAAACUAGUGAUCAGUGUGCAAAUAAUGUGCAGUGCAACAUUGACAUGUUCAUAUUUCCUGUUCAGCUGCUGUGCUGAUAAUAUUGUAACUAUAUUUCAUUUGGAUGUCAAAAAUAUGACAUGAUCUGUUUAAGGCAAUGAAAAUUCCACUCACAUUUUGAAGUGAAAAAUCGUGUUAAUCUGGAUAGUAGCAUUCCCCAUAAAAUCGCCCAGGUUAACCAAUUUUUGGAUUAAAGAAUUAUGGUAUUGAGUAAUAUAACUUUGUAUUCAUGCCCAGCCGUAAUGGUUCAGAAGGUGGGUUUUCUGGAUUGACGAGGGUCUGGACUGUCAGUACAUUUAUUGACAUAGUCUAUCACUGCCACAAGUUAUUGAUAUUGCGGUACUAAUUUCCACACUUGCAUGUAUUAACCUUGGUUUGAGUGCCAUAUUGUUGUUAUAUGAUGCAAUGUGUUCAAAGGAUUUCAAAUAGUUCUUUUGAGUUAAAGAUUUCCAUCAGACAAUUGUUUGUUUACUUUUCUAUAAAAUUUGUUUUCAACACUAUUUACAUUUGUAAGGAAAUCAUUGAUUUUAAGUAUGAAAAUAACAUGUUUGAAUUUCUUUAUCAGUAUUCAGUAGGUUUACCGCCAGAAUGUAUGGGUAUAUGUAUAUUUCGAAUGUCAGUUGUAAAAUAUAAUGCAGAAUUAAAUUCAAUAAUGUUAUUUCUAAGGACAGAACUAAGCUCUGUGAUGAAAUAAUUUGUUGUCAAACCAGUCAGAGAUAAUGAGAUGCUUCAAUAAAUAUUUUUUUGAAA